rnacentral:rRNA from 1 species
GGGUUUGAUCCUGGCUCAGAACGAACGCUGGCGGCGUGGUUCAGACAUGCAAGUCGAACGGUCUGGCCACUGGAGUAAUCCGGUGGUCAGGUAGUGGCGAAAGGGUGAGUAAUAAGUAGAUAACGUACCCUCUGCUCGGGGAUAGUGGCGGUGGCUUCGGCCACCUACCGAAAGGGCCAGUAAUACCCGAUGAUCUCUUUAGGCUUUCUGGUCUUUGGAGCAAAGGUGGGGAUCCUUCGGGACCUACCGGCAAAGGAGCGGUCUACUUCCCAUCAGCUUGUUGGUGAGGUAAAGGCUCACCAAGGCGACGACGGGUAGCCGGCCUGAGAGGGUGAACGGCCUCACUGGGACUGAGACACUGCCCAGAGCCCUACGGGGUGCUGCAGUUUCGAAUCGUUCACAAUGCGCGAAAGCGUGAUGACGCGACGCCGCGUGCGGGAGGAAGGCCUUCGGGUUGUAAACCGCUUUUAGGGGGUACGAAGUGGACGGGGUCAAUAGCCCCGGGAUCUGACAUCAACCCCAGAAAAAGCUCCGGCUAACUUCGUGCCAGCAGCCGCGGUAAGACGAAGGGAGCGAGCGUUGUUCGGUAUCACUGGGCUUAAAGGGCACGUAGGCGGCUUGAUGUGUCGGUUGUGAAAUCCCAGGGCUCAACUCAGGAAUUGCUUCCGAAACUAUCAGGCUUGAGGCAUUCUGGGGGUGACUGGAACUCUUGGUGGAGCGGUGACAUGCGUAGAUAUCAAGAGGAACGCCGGUGAUGAAGACGGGUCACUGGGAAUGUCCUGACGCUGAGGUGCGAAAGCUAGGGGAGCGAACGGGAUUAGAUACCCCGGUAGUCCUAGCCGUAAACGAUGUGCACUAGGUCGCGGAGGUUCUGACGCCGUCGCGGCCGGAGCAAAAGUGUUAAGUGCACCGCCUGGGGAGUACGGUCGCAAGGCUAAAACUCAAAGGAAUUGACGGGGACUCACACAAGCGGUGGAGCAUGUGGCUCAAUUCGAAACAACGCGAAGAACCUUAUCCUGGGUUUGACAUGCACGAAUGAAACCGGUGAAAGCCGGGGACUGCCUUUACGGGUGAAACGUGCACAGGUGCUGCAUGGCUGUCGUCAGCUCGUGCUGUGAAGUGUCGGGUUAAGUCCCUUAACGAGCGAAACCCUUGUCGCUAGUUGCCAGCGGGUCAUGCCGGGGACUCUAGCGAGACUGCCGGUGUUAAACCGGAGGAAGGUGGGGAUGACGUCAAGUCCUCAUGGCCUUUAUGCCCAGGGCUGCACACGUGCUACAACGGGGCGGACAAAGGGUCGCCAACCCGCGAGGGGGAGCUAAUCCCAAAAACCGCCUCCCAGUCCGGAUUGCAGGCUGCAACUCGCCUGCAUGAAGUUGGAAUCGCUAGUAAUCGCAGAUCAGCUAUGCUGCGGUGAAUAUGUUCCUGAGUCUUGUACACACCGCCCGUCAAGCCAUGGAAGCUGGUAGUACCCGAAGUCGCUGACCCAACCCCUCGGGGAGGGAGGUGCCGACGGUAAGACUGGUGACUGGUGCUAAGUCGU